rnacentral:lncRNA from 10 species
GGCAUCGCUGUCAGAAGGAAAUGGCAUGUGUAACAAGCUUAGGGGUAGGGGUAUGUGAAACGCACAUGGUGUACAUGAGGAAAGGCCAGGAGCUUUAUGUCGCUGGAGCACAAAACAGUAUUCAUGGAAUGCUGUGGAAAGUGGGGCAGACAAAUCAGUGCCAGGUGAGGCUGAAAAAGUGAAGCCUGUGAAGGCAUGAGAAACCAUCUUAAUUUUUGGAUUUUUGUGCCCCUAAUCUUGACCCAUAAGGGCAUCUGGAAAGACAGGUGAGGAGUCAGCAUUUUUGUGGUUGACAGAGAAAAUGGUGGA